GAGUUUGAUCAUGGCUCAGAUUGAACGCUGGCGGCAUGCCUUACACAUGCAAGUCGAACGGCUGCAUGAUCUAGCUUGCUAGAUUGAUGGCGAGUGGCGAACGGGUGAGUAAUACAUCGGAACGUGCCCUGUAGUGGGGAUAACUAGUCGAAAGAUUAGCUAAUACCGCAUACGACCUGAGGGUGAAAGUGGGGACCGCAAGGCCUCAUGCUAUAGGAGCGGCCGAUGUCUGAUUAGCUAGUUGGUGGGGUAAAGGCCCACCAAGGCGAGGAUCAGUAGCUGGUCUGAGAGGACGAUCAGCCACACUGGGGACUGAGACACGGGCCCAGACUCCUACGGGAGGCAGCAGUGGGGAAUUUUGGACAAUGGGCGAAAGCCUGAUCCAGCAAUGCCGCGUGUGUGAAGAAGG
rnacentral:rRNA from 1 species